UGGCUCAGGAUGAACGCUAGCUACAGGCUUAACACAUGCAAGUCGAGGGGCAGCAUUUUAGUUUGCUUGCAAACUGAAGAUGGCGACCGGCGCACGGGUGAGUAACACGUAUCCAACCUGCCGAUAACUCCGGAAUAGCCUUUCGAAAGAAAGAUUAAUACCGGAUAGCAUACGAAUAUCGCAUGAUAUUUUUAUUAAAGAAUUUUGGUUAUCGAUGGGGAUGCGUUCCAUUAGUUUGUUGGCGGGGUAACGGCCCACCAAGACUACGAUGGAUAGGGGUUCUGAGAGGAAGGUCCCCCACAUUGGAACUGAGACACGGUCCAAACUCCUACGGGAGGCAGCAGUGAGGAAUAUUGGUCAAUGGGCGAGAGCCUGAACCAGCCAAGUAGCGUGAAGGAUGAAGGCUCUAUGGGUCGUAAACUUCUUUUAUAUGGGAAUAAAGUUUUCCACGUGUGGAAUUUUGUAUGUACCAUAUGAAUAAGGAUCGGCUAACUCCGUGCCAGCAGCCGCGGUAAUACGGAGGAUCCGAGCGUUAUCCGGAUUUAUUGGGUUUAAAGGGAGCGUAGGUGGAUUGUUAAGUCAGUUGUGAAAGUUUGCGGCUCAACCGUAAAAUUGCAGUUGAAACUGGCAGUCUUGAGUACAGUAGAGGUGGGCGGAAUUCGUGGUGUAGCGGUGAAAUGCUUAGAUAUCACGAAGAACUCCGAUUGCGAAGGCAGCUCACUAGACUGUCACUGACACUGAUGCUCGAAAGUGUGGGUAUCAAACAGGAUUAGAUACCCUGGUAGUCCACACAGUAAACGAUGAAUACUCGCUGUUUGCGAUAUACAGUAAGCGGCCAAGCGAAAGCAUUAAGUAUUCCACCUGGGGAGUACGCCGGCAACGGUGAAACUCAAAGGAAUUGACGGGGGCCCGCACAAGCGGAGGAACAUGUGGUUUAAUUCGAUGAUACGCGAGGAACCUUACCCGGGCUUAAAUUGCAACAGAAUAUAUUGGAAACAGUAUAGCCGUAAGGCUGUUGUGAAGGUGCUGCAUGGUUGUCGUCAGCUCGUGCCGUGAGGUGUCGGCUUAAGUGCCAUAACGAGCGCAACCCUUAUCUUUAGUUACUAACAGGUCAUGCUGAGGACUCUAGAGAGACUGCCGUCGUAAGAUGUGAGGAAGGUGGGGAUGACGUCAAAUCAGCACGGCCCUUACGUCCGGGGCUACACACGUGUUACAAUGGGGGGUACAGAAGGCGGCUACCUGGUGACAGGAUGCUAAUCCCAAAAACCUCUCUCAGUUCGGAUCGAAGUCUGCAACCCGACUUCGUGAAGCUGGAUUCGCUAGUAAUCGCGCAUCAGCCAUGGCGCGGUGAAUACGUUCCCGGGCCUUGUACACACCGCCCGUCAAGCCAUGAAAGCCGGGGGUACCUGAAGUACGUAACCGCAAGGAGCGUCCUAGGGUAAAACUGGUAA
rnacentral:rRNA from 1 species